ACAAGUGGAAGGCCUAUGAAAAUCUUAAUAGGUGCCUCACAAUUUGAUUUAGGUGAAGUCAUUUUGCAGUAGUGGGAAGAAAGCUGACAGCUUACAGUUUAUGCAUUCAGCUCACAGAGAUGCAGAAACGAGAUGCACAAAUACAAACAGCUGUUAGGGAUAUUGCUUAAGUGCUAAGAGAAAUUUUGACCGGAGAGCAGAGGCUGAAACGGACCCAGGUCUCUAAUACCAGAUUACCUGUUCUAUAAGAAUGCAACGUCUGAUGAUAAAGCUACAGAUGUGAGAGAAAGCUGUGUCAUAGUAAUGAAGUGUUGCCGGCUGAUACCCUAUCUAUACUUGCUGCGUUAGAGAAAGAAGCUGAGGAAGCAAGAGUUGGAGAUGCUGUGAGAAGGGAUCACCAAGCUUACAAGUGAAAGGUCACAAAGAGGGAAAACGCUGAAUGAAACAAUUAUGAAAGGAUGGCCGAAGAAAUAAUUGUAUAAAGAGGUAAACGCUUGCUGGAGAUUGAAUUGCGAGUUGCCUCUUCUGCUUGGAGAAGCAGAACGUAAGAAAUAGCUGUUUUCUGUGUAUGUGAUGUUGAAAUGUAUAUUGUAUACAUUGAGAGACAUUAAGGCAUUGUUUAAAAGAGGGACGAGAGAGUGAUAUAAAUACUAGAGUUAAUAGAUGACUCUUAGAAUGUUAACAGGCCUAUGAGAAUUUGAAGAUGGUCUUUAAGAAUUAUUGAUGGAGGGCAAAAUUCUGCCCUGAAUCCUACGCUAUCCAAUCCCCCUGAAGGCAGUGGGGGUUGUUAGGGCAGGACGUGCCAUGUUGUUUUGAAGAAAAUGAUAGACUUGAUGGUGCAGCUAUGAAUUCUAGCUGAACAAUAAACUAGUUAUUCUUCUCA